rnacentral:rRNA from 1 species
AGAGUUUGAUCCUGGCUCAGGAUGAACGCUGGCGGCGUGCUUAACACAUGCAAGUCGAACGGUGAAGCCCAGCUUGCUGGGUGGAUCAGUGGCGAACGGGUGAGUAACACGUGAGCAAUCUGCCCCUGACUCUGGGAUAAGCGCUGGAAACGGCGUCUAAUACUGGAUACGAACCGUGGAGGCAUCUUCAACGGUUGGAAAGAUUUUUUGGUCAGGGAUGAGCUCGCGGCCUAUCAGCUUGUUGGUGAGGUAAUGGCUCACCAAGGCGUCGACGGGUAGCCGGCCUGAGAGGGUGACCGGCCACACUGGGACUGAGACACGGCCCAGACUCCUACGGGAGGCAGCAGUGGGGAAUAUUGCACAAUGGGCGAAAGCCUGAUGCAGCAACGCCGCGUGAGGGAUGACGGCCUUCGGGUUGUAAACCUCUUUUAGCAGGGAAGAAGCGAAAGUGACGGUACCUGCAGAAAAAGCGCCGGCUAACUACGUGCCAGCAGCCGCGGUAAUAC